CACAGGAAACACAGCCACCCCCCUUCCACAGCCACACGCAGAGAAACCAAGGUGGGCAAGGAGAUGUGGGCAGCCUGUGGCUGGACGUGGGCCUGAGCGUGUGUCACCAGGCACCAGGCUGGAGCACAGAGGAAACCUCCCAUCAUUUCAAACAAAAAAAUGACUUUUUUUUAAAAUGAAGAGCCAAAUCGGCAACAUUUUGCAACACAAAUGGCUGAAGUAAUCAUUACCAAGCAAACAAACAGAGAUAGGAAAGGGGCAGGGAGAAGAAUCUAGGCAUUUUAACAUUUUUUUUUUUCAUGGUUUGAGGUCUCGUAGCUGAAUCCAAGCCAUACUUUCAGGUGAUGCUGGAGCAACUGAGUGGCUUGCAUGUGGGGACUGGUGAGACCAACAGUGCUUCUCGUUCACCCUUGUGUUUCCUCCGCUCUAGUAGCCCUGGCAAACAUUUUGCAAUGCUGUGUGUCCCUGUUUAUAAGUGCCGAAAGAGAACUAAGAUUUUGUGACAGUCAUUCUGAUCUGGCCUGGAUAAAGCAGAACUGAAGAUACCUGAAGGAAGCUAGACCAAGAAUGAAAAAGCAUCAGAUGGGAACAAAUAUAAUUAAUCCAUAUUAGCUGCCAUAUUGUCCAAGAAGGGGAGUGGCAGCUCCGUAACAGCAGCAGCAGAAAGAGCCCAUGAAAGAAACAAAAAAGCAGAGGAGUCUGUCAUGUCAUGUGUAUGUAGAAAGCAUCCUGUGCAUGAAUUAUUUUGCUGUGGUGAUGACUGAAGCCUUCAAGAUCACUUCUCCAUUAGGAGAAAAGUUAGCUAGGUAUCCUUAGACACCAGCUUCCAUUUCCUUUUUCCUCCGUGGCUUUUUCAUAUAAAAAACAUCAAGGCAGGAGUACACCAAACUAUGGUAUUGAGUCCAACCAUUUAUGGAGAUUUUCAAGACCAGCCUAGAUUUGAGAGGAAAAGAAAAAAAAAGCAGUGCAAGGAAAGAGCUGUAAAGAAGAUCUCUAAGUCUGUGAUGCUGCAAAAGCUUGAAAGGUCCUGUGUUCCUUCACCACAGCAUUAUCCAGAAAACACAAGAUGCUUUCAGUGAGGGGAUACCUUUGAGAAAGGAGAUGCAGUAAAGCAUUUCAGAUGCCUUGGAGUUCUUGAGGAUCUUGAAAAUGCUUGUUUGGAGCUUUUUUCUUUUUCUAAGUGGAUUAGAGAUUUGGUUGGAUUAGGGCCUUAAUAAAUACCUACAGUGUUUGUCUUUCA